rnacentral:rRNA from 1 species
AUAGUAACUUCUGCUCAAUGUAAAUAGCCGCAGUACCCUGACUGUGCAAAGGUAGCAUAAUAAUUUGGCUUAUAAUUGAAGUCUAGUAUAAAUGACCCAUGGGGAAUACUUUAUCAAAAUUUAUUAAAAAUUAAUAAUAAGGUGAAAAUGCCUUUUUUAUUAUAAGACGAGAAGACCCUAGAAAUUUUUAAUUUUGUUGGGGCAACAUAGUAUUACUAUUUGUAUCUUAUAGAAGAAUACUAAAUUACUCUAGGGAUAACAGCAUAAUUUUUAAUGUUUGUGACCUCGAUGUUGGAUUAGGUAAAAUUAAAA